AGAGGAAGUAAAAGUCGUAACAAGGUCUCCGUAGGUGAACCUGCGGAGGGAUCAUUACCGAGUUCAUGCCCUUACGGGUAGACCUCCCACCCUAUGUUAUAUUACCUUUGUUGCUUUGGCGGGCCGCCCGGCUUCGGCCAGGCUACCGGCUCCAGCUGGUAAGCGCUCGCCAGAGGACCCUCAACUCUGAAUAUCAGUGUCGUCUGAGUACUAUAAAAUAGUUAAAACUUUCAACAACGGAUCUCUUGGUUCUGGCAUCGAUGAAGAACGCAGCGAAAUGCGAUAAGUAAUGUGAAUUGCAGAAUUCAGUGAAUCAUCGAAUCUUUGAACGCACAUUGCGCCCCUUGGUAUUCCGAGGGGCAUGCCUGUUCGAGCGUCAUUACAACCCUCAAGCACUGCUUGGUAUUGGGCUCCGCUGGCUCCAGCGGGCCUUAAAAUCAGUGGCGGCGCCGUUUGGGCUCUGAGCGUAGUAAAUAUCCUCGCUAUAGAGACCAGGCGGUUCUUGUCAUCAACCCCCAACUUUCUAAGUUUGACCUCGGAUCAGGUAGGGAUACCCGCUGAACUUAAGCAUAUCAA
rnacentral:rRNA from 1 species